rnacentral:lncRNA from 1 species
UUUUCCACGAUAGCCACCUCGUCCGAUUUGGGUUCCUGGUGAUCUUCUAUUUUAGCUGUUGGCCUCGAUAUUAGCUCGGGGGUAUGGAUCUGAUCCUUCUUAUUCCACAUAUCUUUCUCACCAGACAUCUACAUACAUAAGUUACCCUGAUUAGCAUAUAGUAUAUAUACACAACAAUCAAGAGUUCUAUAUACGUUGUCUCUUAUUUUUUUUGACGAUAAAUUUAUUCAAUUCUCAUCAACGCCUAUCUCUCUGCCGAAAGGCAGCUCCAUCCACUCUGCAUCGAAUCGCAUGAAGGUGAUGACUAAAGCCUGCUCUAAGGUAUAUAUCCUGGUGUCUUUGGCUUCUAUCUCAACCUUCAACUGUCAUAUCUAUAUCUCUCUCUGCUCCAACCUCCCUCGUAACUCGGCUAAUUCUAUCUGUGUUCGGUGAGCAGCAUCCUUGUACUGCUAUUCCGAAAUCUGGAGAGUACGAUUCUGUGCCUC